rnacentral:rRNA from 1 species
ACGGAAGGCAGCAGUGAGGAAUAUUGGUCAAUGGACGGAAGUCUGAACCAGCCAAGUCGCGUGAAGGAUGAAGGUAUUAUGUAUUGUAAACUUCUUUAGCAGUGGAGUAAUAAGGUGGUCGAGACCACUGAUGCAAGUACACUGAGAAUAAGGAUCGGCUAACUCCGUGCCAGCAGCCGCGGUAAUACGGAGGAUCCGAGCGUUAUCCGGAUUUAUUGGGUUUAAAGGGUGCGCAGGCGGCUUUUUAAGUCAGUGGUUAAAUCGGGACGCUCAACGUCAUCACGCCAUUGAUACUGGAGAGCUUGAUUGCGGUCGAGGUUUGCGGAAUUCGUUGUGUAGCGGUGAAAUGCAUAGAUAUGACGAAGAACACCGAUUGCGUAGGCAGCAGACCAGGCCGUAAAUGACGCUCAUGCACGAAAGUGCGGGGAUCGAACAGGAUUAGAUACCCUGGUA